rnacentral:rRNA from 1 species
GCGACUGACGGGCGAGCAGUGGAGGGAAGACUGGGGUGACAAGGGGUAUCCGGAAUUACGGGGCGUAAGGCGCACGCGGGCGGUGGGUUAAGUCUGACGUGAAAUCUCCCGGCUUAACUGGGAGGGGUCGUUGGAGACUGGCGUGCUUGAGGCGAUGAGAGGGGUGUAGAAUUCCCGGUGUAGUGGUGGAAUGCGUAGAUAUCGGGAGGAAUACCAGUGGCGGAAGCGACACCCUGGCAUUAGCCUGACGCUCAGGUGCGAAGGCGUGGGGAGCGAACGGGAUUAGAUACCCCGGUAGUC